rnacentral:SRP_RNA from 1 species
AUCGGCACCCCGCGUGGUGGUACCUCGCCAAACUCCCCCGGGGCAGGAAUGCAGCAAGGGUAGGCGAGCUCUUCCAGUGCACGCGGGGUGUCCCUGUG